GACGUAGGGCGCGAGCGUUGUCCGGAUUUAUUGGGCGUAAAGAGCUCGUAGGCGGCUUGUCGCGUCGAAUGUGAAAUUUUAGGGCUCAACGCUGACAUUGCAUUCGAUACGGGCAGGCUUGAGUUCGGUAGGGGAGACUGGAAUUCCUGGUGUAGCGGUGAAAUGCGCAGAUAUCAGGAGGAACACCGGUGGCGAAGGCGGGUCUCUGGUACGCGACUGACGCUGAGACGCGAAAGCGUGGGGAGCAAACAGG
rnacentral:rRNA from 1 species